UUGCUAAUGUUGUUUCUGCUGAUCCUUAUGUAUAUGCUUCUCCACCUCCACCACCUUACGAGUACAAGUCGCCACCCCCUCCUUCUCCCUCUCCACCACCGCCUUAUGAGUACAAGUCGCCACCACCUCCUUCUCCAUCUCCUCCACCGCCAUAUGAAUACAAGUCGCCACCACCUCCUUCACCAUCACCUCCACCACCAUACUACUACUCUUCCCCACCACCUCCGAAGAAGUCACCUCCACCACCAUACUACUACUCCUCUCCACCACCACCCGAGAAGUCACCUCCUCCACCAUACUACUACUCCUCUCCUCCACCCCCGGAGAAGUCACCUCCACCACCUUACUACUACUCUUCUCCACCACCCCCCAAGAAGUCACCUCCACCUCCAUACUACUAUAGUUCUCCACCACCACCCGAGAAGUCACCUCCACCACCUUACUACUAUUCUUCUCCUCCACCACCCGAGAAGUCACCUCCACCACCAUACUACUACUACUCUCCUCCACCACCCAAGAAGUCACCUCCACCUCCAUACUACUACAGUUCUCCACCACCACCAGUUAAGUAUCCUCCUCCACCAUACUACUACCCUUCUCCACCACCACCCAAGGAAUCACCUCCUCCACCAUACUACUACUCCUCACCACCACCACCCAAGAAGUCAC
rnacentral:lncRNA from 1 species